GGAAGGUGUGGCUCAAUGGUAGGGCAUCUGGUUUCCAUGCAGAAGGCCCCAGGUUCAAUCCCUGGCAUCUCCA